AAAGGAAGGAGCUCUUCACCCAGUGUAGGGUAUGGUUUGUGAAGGUAUCCCUAGAGAAGGUGACUCUGCGGCUGAGCUUGAAGGAAGAGAAUUGGUAGGUGACAAAGAAGAGAUUGAAGACGACUGAUUGACAGAGCCUGAGUCAAAUGCUAAUGAGCCCUUGCUGAGUAAGGAAUGAGAAGGAUGUUUGGUGUCCCAAAGACCAUAAAACUCAACAAUAAGAAAAUAACCAACCACAUUAAAAAGUGAGCCAGAAAUUAUAACAGACACUUCACCAAAGAAAAUGUAGAUGGCAAAUAACCAUAUGAAAAGAAGCUCCAUAUCAUAGUUUAUCAGAUAAAUGUAAAUGAAAACAGCAAUGAGAUACCACCACACACCUAUCAGAAUGACCAAAAUCCAGAACAUCAACACCACCAAAUGCUGGCAA
rnacentral:lncRNA from 10 species